rnacentral:rRNA from 1 species
UACGUAGGGUCCGAGCGUUGUCCGGAAUUAUUGGGCGUAAAGAGCUCGUAGGCGGUCUGUCGCGUCGGCUGUGAAAUCCCAAGGCUCAACCUCGGGUCUGCAGUCGAUACGGGCAAACUAGAGUAUUGCAGGGGAGACUGGAAUUCCUGGUGUAGCGGUGAAAUGCGCAGAUAUCAGGAGGAACACCGGUGGCGAAGGCGGGUCUCUGGGCAAUAACUGACGCUAAGGCGCGACAGCGUGGGGAGCAAACAGG